AGCGAACGCUGGCGGCGUGCCUAACACAUGCAAGUCGAACGUGAAAAGGGAAACCUGAGUAAAGUGGCGUACGGGUGAGUAACGCGUAGGUAAUCUACCCCAGAAUCUGGAAUAACCUGCCGAAAGGCGGGCUAAUACUGGAUAGAGCGAGGGAACUCGUAAGAGAGUUUUUCGGGAAAGGGAGCCCGCAAGGGCCUUCGUUCUGGGAUGAGCCUGCGUCUCAUUAGCUAGUUGGUAAGGUAACGGCUUACCAAGGCGUUGAUGAGUAGCUGGUCUGAGAGGAUGAUCAGCCACACUGGAACUGAAACACGGUCCAGACUCCUACGGGAGGCAGCAGUGGGGAAUCUUGCGCAAUGGACGAAAGUCUGACGCAGCCACGCCGCGUGAGUGAAGAAGGCCUUCGGGUUGUAAAGCUCUGUCGGAUGGGACGAACAUCUUCAUAGUGAAUAGCUAUGAGGACUGACGGUACCAUCAAAGGAAGCACCGGCUAACUCCGUG
rnacentral:rRNA from 1 species